CUAAGCGUACACGGUGGAUGCCCUGGCAGUCAGAGGCGAUGAAGGGCGUGCUAAUCUGCGAUAAGCGCCGGUAAGGUGAUAUGAACCGUUAUAACCGGCGAUACCCGAAUGGGGAAACCCAGUGUGAUUCGUCACACUAUCAUUAACUGAAUCCAUAGGUUAAUGAGGCGAACCGGGGGAACUGAAACAUCUAAGUACCCCGAGGAAAAGAAAUCAACCGAGAUUCCCCCAGUAGCGGCGAGCGAACGGGGAGGAGCCCAGAGCCUGAAUCAGCAUGUGUGUUAGUGGAAGCGUCUGGAAAGGCGCGCGAUACAGGGUGACAGCCCCGUACACAAAAGCGCAUGUGCUGUGAGCUCGAUGAGUAGGGCGGGACACGUGGUAUCCUGUCUGAAUAUGGGGGGACCAUCCUCCAAGGCUAAAUACUCCUGACUGACCGAUAGUGAACCAGUACCGUGAGGGAAAGGCGAAAAGAACCCCGGCGAGGGGAGUGAAAAAGAACCUGAAACCGUGUACGUACAAGCAGUGGGAGCCCCACCACUAAGCCAGUGGUGAACUCCACAUCCGCAUCCUUUGCUGAGGAUACGGUUAACGGAGCGAAAGCGACGUUCAACCGCAAAACAAGCAGAGGGGGCUUAGUGGUGGGGUGACUGCGUACCUUUUGUAUAAUGGGUCAGCGACUUAUAUUCUGUAGCAAGGUUAACCGAAUAGGGGAGCCGGAGGGAAACCGAGUCUUAAUUGGGCGUUAAGUUGCAGGGUAUAGACCCGAAACCCGGUGAUCUAGCCAUGGGCAGGUUGAAGGUUGGGUAACACUAACUGGAGGACCGAACCGACUAAUGUUGAAAAAUUAGCGGAUGACCUGUGGCUGGGGGUGAAAGGCCAAUCAAACCGGGAGAUAGCUGGUUCUCCCCGAAAGCUAUUUAGGUAGCGCCUCGUGAAUUCAUCUCCGGGGGUAGAGCACUGUUUCGGCUAGGGGGCCAUCCCGGCUUACCAACCCGAUGCAAACUGCGAAUACCGGAGAAUGUUAUCACGGGAGACACACGGCGGGUGCUAACGUCCGUCGUGAAGAGGGAAACAACCCAGACCGCCAGCUAAGGUCCCAAAGUCAUGGUUAAGUGGGAAACGAUGUGGGAAGGCCCAGACAGCCAGGAUGUUGGCUUAGAAGCAGCCAUCAUUUAAAGAAAGCGUAAUAGCUCACUGGUCGAGUCGGCCUGCGCGGAAGAUGUAACGGGGCUAAACCAUGCACCGAAGCUGCGGCAGCGAACGUAUCACCCAAGACAACUUUACGGAGUUGACGAUUGACGGAGCGAAGCGACGUCAAAGCGUUCAUUAAAGUCGAGUUGGCUUAGGGAUACGUUCGUUGGGUAGGGGAGCGUUCUGUAAGCCUGUGAAGGUGUGUCGUGAGGCAUGCUGGAGGUAUCAGAAGUGCGAAUGCUGACAUAAGUAACGAUAAAGCGGGUGAAAAGCCCGCUCGCCGGAAGACCAAGGGUUCCUGUCCAACGUUAAUCGGGGCAGGGUGAGUCGACCCCUAAGGCGAGGCCGAAAGGCGUAGUCGAUGGGAAACGGGUUAAUAUUCCCGUACUUGGUGUUACUGCGAAGGGGGGACGGAGAAGGCUAUGUUGGCCGGGCGACGGUUGUCCCGGUUUAAGCGUGUAGGUGUGUGUUCCAGGUAAAUCCGGUUCACUUUAACACUGAGGCGUGACGACGAGGCACUACGGUGCUGAAGCAACAAAUGCCCUGCUUCCAGGAAAAGCCUCUAAGCAUCAGGUAACAUCAAAUCGUACCCCAAACCGACACAGGUGGUCAGGUAGAGAAUACCAAGGCGCUUGAGAGAACUCGGGUGAAGGAACUAGGCAAAAUGGUGCCGUAACUUCGGGAGAAGGCACGCUGACACGUAGGUGAAGUGAUUUACUCAUGGAGCUGAAGUCAGUCGAAGAUACCAGCUGGCUGCAACUGUUUAUUAAAAACACAGCACUGUGCAAACACGAAAGUGGACGUAUACGGUGUGACGCCUGCCCGGUGCCGGAAGGUUAAUUGAUGGGGUCAGCGCAAGCGAAGCUCCUGAUCGAAGCCCCGGUAAACGGCGGCCGUAACUAUAACGGUCCUAAGGUAGCGAAAUUCCUUGUCGGGUAAGUUCCGACCUGCACGAAUGGCGUAAUGAUGGCCAGGCUGUCUCCACCCGAGACUCAGUGAAAUUGAACUCGCUGUGAAGAUGCAGUGUACCCGCGGCAAGACGGAAAGACCCCGUGAACCUUUACUAUAGCUUGACACUGAACAUUGAGCCUUGAUGUGUAGGAUAGGUGGGAGGCUUUGAAGUGUGGACGCCAGUCUGCAUGGAGCCGACCUUGAAAUACCACCCUUUAAUGUUUGAUGUUCUAACGUGGACCCGUUACCCGGGUUGCGGACAGUGUCUGGUGGGUAGUUUGACUGGGGCGGUCUCCUCCUAAAGAGUAACGGAGGAGCACGAAGGUUGGCUAAUCCUGGUCGGACAUCAGGAGGUUAGUGCAAUGGCAUAAGCCAGCUUGACUGCGAGCGUGACGGCGCGAGCAGGUGCGAAAGCAGGUCAUAGUGAUCCGGUGGUUCUGAAUGGAAGGGCCAUCGCUCAACGGAUAAAAGGUACUCCGGGGAUAACAGGCUGAUACCGCCCAAGAGUUCAUAUCGACGGCGGUGUUUGGCACCUCGAUGUCGGCUCAUCACAUCCUGGGGCUGAAGUAGGUCCCAAGGGUAUGGCUGUUCGCCAUUUAAAGUGGUACGCGAGCUGGGUUUAGAACGUCGUGAGACAGUUCGGUCCCUAUCUGCCGUGGGAGCUGGAGAACUGAGGGGGGCUGCUCCUAGUACGAGAGGACCGGAGUGGACGCAUCACUGGUGUUCGGGUUGUCAUGCCAAUGGCACUGCCCGGUAGCUAAAUGCGGAAGAGAUAAGUGCUGAAAGCAUCUAAGCACGAAACUUGCCCCGAGAUGAGUUCUCCCUGAGACUUAGAGUCUCCUGAAGGAACGUUGAAGACGACGACGUUGAUAGGCCGGGUGUGUAAGCGCAGCGAUGCGUUGAGCUAACCGGUACUAAUGAACCGUGAGGCUUAACCUUACAACGCCGAAG
rnacentral:rRNA from 1 species